rnacentral:ncRNA from 1 species
AGGAGCCGUGUGAGGUGAAAGUCUCACGCACGGUUUUGAAGACGAGCAGACUCUAUAAAGGGCAGCCGGAAAUGGGUUUGCUUAGUUUAAC